CCCAGUGUGAGGCCUGUCCAUGCACCUUGCAGUACCUAGGUGGGUGGAGGGCCUUUGGGAUGACUUAGCAAAGUCAGGUCUGGUUCUGGGGUGACCCGCAAGCGUCCCCAUAGGGCUCCACAGCCAGCCAGGGUGGCAGAGAAUGGGUCUGGGAUCAGACUGUUGGACCUGGGCCUGGGAUUUCUGCUCCUAGAACCCCCGAACAACCACCUGAAACUCCAGGAAGGUUCUGAACACCCCAGGCUGUUUGAGCCUCCAUGGCUGCUACCAGUGCUGUUCCCUCUGGAAUUCCUCUUCUGAUGCCGCCUGGUGAACAUCUACUCGUCCUUCAUUUCCGCUACUAAUGAAUCCCUCUUGGAGGAAAAUUCCAGAAGAAAGAAGCAAAGAGAGCAUGAAAGAAAUCCUGAAUGCUAAAAUGGCUAUUUUCGAAGGUUUAACAUAAGCAGUUCCUUUCAACCAUUCUCACACUCAUUCUAGGGUGCCUCAUUAGCUACAAAAAACGCACAUUUAACUAGUGGAACCAAUUAGUGAUGCUGAUUCUUUUCAUCUUUGUUGAGAUUACCAAGUUAUUCAAGAUAUAUUUAACAAAUAUAUGGAUAAAACAUGUGUGAUUUAUUUUCAAUUGCUCUGGGUCAAUAAAAGACUUAAAUGCAUAUUAUCAAAUCAAAUCAAAUCAAAUCAUGGAUUGAUUAAAUCUAUUGCUUAUCUUACUUCAUCUUAUUAAAUAUUUAAUAUUUUCUGUUACCUACUAAUAAAAAUGCAAAGUUAUAUGAUGAACUGAUUAGUUUGUUUUCUUUAGUAGUAUAUAUCUUUCUCUGUCACUGGAUAGGAAAAGUUUGAUUACAAUGUUUAAUAAAUUAUUUCUGCUUUUUAAAUGUGGAAUUUUAUUUAUUUUUUCCCAAAACCUGAACCCCAGAGUUUGAGAACACACGCACACACUGAAAGAAUAUUAUUAUUUUGAUCAUACUUCUU